CCCGGAGCGGCCUGGCCUUGCAGACGACAAGACUCCCGGAGGAACGGCGGCUGUCAAGCGUCUGUGAUGCCGAAAGCCACAGGACAAAGACAGGUUGUAUUCACAUCUUGGCUAUCCUGAACAUCGUUGCAGUGAACACGGGAGUGCCAAGAUGUCUUCCAGAUCCUGAUUUCAUUUCUUUUGGAUAAAUACCCAGAAGUGGGAUGGCUGGAGCACGUUAAUGUGGUGUGUCCCAUUAAUCGAGUCAUCUUUGAGCCGUGUUGAUGAUGAUGAAUAUCCUGGCAAACCCAGCAAGAGUGUGUCCC